CCGGAGGCGAGAGGCGCUUCAGAGACUGGAGGGACGGACCUGCAGGAGCCAGGGCUGCCCGCCGAGCUGCAGUUGCCGCUGCUGCCGCUGUCGCUGUCGCGCUGCCGCCGCCGCCGUUGCUGUCAGCGCUCGAGUGAAGAGUGACAGCGCCGCAAGAGCGGGAGGGAGCGCCGAACCCCGCGAACCUACGAAACAGGUGCAUGCGCCGAUCUCCUGGCCAGUGGACCCAGCUCGCAAGGUUGCCAUUCAUGAGCCCGAGGCUGUGAGAAAUGCUCGCUGUGCAAAGGGGAGCUCUCACCAGAUUUUCUGAAGCUGUCCUAGAAAUACACUUUUCAGAUUGAUUCAGCUUUACCAGCUUAUCCAACAAAAGUAUUAACAUAUACAUUAACAACGUCGAAAGUAGCCUACUUUAAGAGAAAAUAUGCAGAAGAAGAAGAUUUACAUCAAGAUUACCAUGGGUAUUUUCCAAAACACCUGAUAUUGCCUGAGGACAGGACUUGCAUUCUCAAACUUUCUCUGGAGAAGCUCAGGUUUCUUGAAGACCCAGAAACCUACUUAAGAAGACUGUGAAGUACCCAAGAGAAAGACUGUCCUUUGCUCGUCUGUUUUUCUUUAUCCUCAGGAACUAAAUAAAUGUUUCUUGAAUGAAUAAAUGAGUAGACCUGAAUCCAUCUGUAACAUUUCCUUUGCAGAGCACUUCACACAAAGUGAAACUCAGUGUCUGUUCCAAAGGCACAGUCAGCCCCCAUCUUCCUACAAUACCGUCCUCUGCCCCACCCCACCAUGACACACAGAAAGACCAAGAACUGAAAAUACCCUUAAAAGAUUAUGGUGGCAUGGAAUCUUACACUGAAGAAGAUAAAGCAAAGGAACUACACUCCAUUUAGACAAUACAUAUUACAAAAUA